GAGGUAGCCAACACUGUUUUUAUAUAUAUAUAUAUAUUUUAAUUGGAGUAGCUGUUUACAUUAUAGUUGCGCAGGAACUUUGUUGACUCUAGAGAACCUCGGGCAAAUCGCACAUCCCCGUGGCGGCAACUUUGCAUGCGGAUGUCAUCCAUAUCAACAUUCGAUGCCAGUUUCUGCGCCUAGCAUGGUGACCACGGGUAACGGGGAAUCAGGGUUCCAUUCCGUACAGGGACCCUGAGAAACGGCUACCACAUGCAAAGAAGGCAUGAGACGCGCAAAUGACCCACUCCCGACGCGGGAAGGUAG